GGGUCAUUAGCUCAGCUGGCAGAGCAGUGGACUUUUAAUCCAUUGGUCGAAGGUUCGAAUCCUUCAUGACCCA
rnacentral:tRNA from 1 species